GAUUCGUCACACUAUCAUUAACUGAAUCCAUAGGUUAAUGAGGCGAACCGGGGGAACUGAAACAUCUAAGUACCCCGAGGAAAAGAAAUCAACCGAGAUUCCCCCAGUAGCGGCGAGCGAACGGGGAGGAGCCCAGAGCCUGAAUCAGCAUGUGUGUUAGUGGAAGCGUCUGGAAAGGCGCGCGAUACAGGGUGACAGCCCCGUACACAAAAGCGCAUGUGCUGUGAGCUCGAUGAGUAGGGCGGGACACGUGGUAUCCUGUCUGAAUAUGGGGGGACCAUCCUCCAAGGCUAAAUACUCCUGACUGACCGAUAGUGAACCAGU
rnacentral:rRNA from 1 species